rnacentral:rRNA from 1 species
GACGAACGCUGGCGGCGUGCUUAACACAUGCAAGUCGAACGGAAAGGCCCUGCUUUUGUGGGGUGCUCGAGUGGCGAACGGGUGAGUAACACGUGAGUAACCUGCCCUUGACUUUGGGAUAACUUCAGGAAACUGGGGCUAAUACCGGAUAGGAGCUCCUGCUGCAUGGUGGGGGUUGGAAAGUUUCGGCGGUUGGGGAUGGACUCGCGGCUUAUCAGCUUGUUGGUGGGGUAGUGGCUUACCAAGGCUUUGACGGGUAGCCGGCCUGAGAGGUUGACCGGCCACAUUGGGACUGAGAUACGGACCAGACUCCUACGGGAGGCAGCAGUGGGGAAUAUUGCACAAUGGGCGGAAGCCUGAUGCAGCAAUGCCGCGUGCGGGAUGACGGCUUUCGGGUUGUAAACCGCUUUCGCCUGUGACGAAGCGUGAGUGACGGUAAUGGGUAAAGAAGCACCGGCUAACUACGUG